GGGUCUUUAGUUCAAAGGUCAGAACAAGGGGCUGUUAACCCUUAGAUGUAAGUUCGAGUCUUACAGGUCCCG
rnacentral:tRNA from 1 species